GUCCAGGGGCGGGAAUAGAACCCACAACCUUCCGCUUACCGGGCAGAUGCCAUGUCCACUAGGCUACCCUGGA
rnacentral:tRNA from 1 species